UACGGAGGGUGCAAGCGUUGUCCGGAAUUACUGGGCGUAAAGGGCGCGUAGGCGGCCUUCUAAGUCGGACGUGAAAUCCCUCGGCUCAACCGGGGAACUGCGUCCGAUACUGGAGGGCUUGAAUCCGGGAGAGGGAUGUGGAAUUCCAGGUGUAGCGGUGAAAUGCGUAGAUAUCUGGAGGAACACCGGUGGCGAAGGCGGCAUCCUGGACCGGCAUUGACGCUGAGGCGCGAAAGCCAGGGGAGCAAACGGG
rnacentral:rRNA from 1 species